CAUGCAAGUCGAGCGAGAAAUUACUCAAUGAAUCUUCGGAAGAAUUGAAUAAUGGAAAGCGGCGGACGGGUGAGUAACGCGUGGGCAACCUGCCUUUCACAGAGGGAUAGCCAAAGGAAACUUUGAUUAAAACCUCAUAAAGCCGAAAUGUUGCAUAGCAAGACGGCCAAAGAUUUAUCGGUGAAAGAUGGGCCCGCGUCUGAUUAGUUAGUUGGUGGGGUAACGGCUCACCAAGGCGACGAUCAGUAGCCGACCUGAGAGGGUGAUCGGCCACAUUGGAACUGAGACACGGUCCAAACUCCUACGGGAGGCAGCAGUGGGGAAUAUUGCACAAUGGGCGCAAGCCUGAUGCAGCAACGCCGCGUGAACGAAGAAGGCCUUCGGGUCGUAAAGUUCUGUCCAUAGGGAAGAAACAAAUGACGGUACCUGUGGAGGAAGCCCCGGCUAAAUACGUGCCAGCGGCCGCGGUAAUACGUAUGGGGCAAGCGUUAUCCGGAAUUAUUGGGCGUAAAGAGUGCGUAGGUGGUGGCUUAAGCGCAGGGUUUAAGGCAAUAGCUUAACUAUUGUUCGCCUUGCGAACUGGG
rnacentral:rRNA from 1 species